rnacentral:rRNA from 1 species
ACGCUGGCGCGUGCCUAAUACAUGCAAGUCGAACGGCUUUUCUAUGGAAGCUUGCUUCCACUGAGAAGAUAGUGGCGAACGGGUGAGUAACACGUGGGUAACCUGCCCAUAAGAGGGGGAUAACAUCCGGAAACGGGUGCUAAUACCGCAUAGUUUUCUUGAUCGCAUGAUCGGGAAAGGAAAGACGGCCUUUGUGCUGUCGCUUAUGGAUGGACCCGCGGCGUAUUAGUUAGUUGGUGAGGUAACGGCUCACCAAGACGAUGAUACGUAGCCGACCUGAGAGGGUGAUCGGCCACAUUGGGACUGAGACACGGCCCAAACUCCUACGGGAGGCAGCAGUAGGGAAUCUUCCGCAAUGGACGAAAGUCUGACGGAGCAACGCCGCGUGAGUGAAGAAAAGGUUUUCGGAUCGUAAAACUCUGUUGUCAGAGAAGAACAAGUUGGAGAGUAACUGCUCCAGCCUUGACGGUAUCUGACCAGAAAGCCACGGCUAACUACGUGCCAGCAGCCGC